rnacentral:rRNA from 1 species
UACGUAGGGGGCAAGCGUUGUCCGGAAUUAUUGGGCGUAAAGAGCGUGUAGGCGGCCAGAUAAGUCCGCUGUGAAAUCUCGAGGCUCAACUUCGAGCUGUCGGUGGAAACCAUCAGACUAGAGUCCGGAAGAGGAGAGUGGAAUUCCUGGUGUAGCGGUGAAAUGCGCAGAUAUCAGGAAGAACACCCGUGGCUAAGGCGGCUCUCUAGUACGGUACUGACGCUGAGACGCGAAAGCGUGGGGAGCGAACAGG